rnacentral:rRNA from 1 species
UACGAAGGGUCCAAGCGUUGUUCGGAUUCAUUGGGCGUAAAGGGUGCGUAGGUGGCGCCGUAAGUCAGGUGUGAAAUUUCGGAGCUUAACUCCGAAACUGCAUUUGAUACUGCGGUGCUUGAGGACUGGAGAGGAGACUGGAAUUCACGGUGUAGCAGUGAAAUGCGUAGAUAUCGUGAGGAAGACCAGUGGCGAAGGCGGGUCUCUGGGCAGUAACUGACGCUGAGGAGCGAAAGCGUGGGGAGCGAACAGG